GUGCUCAUUUCAUCAGCACGUACACUAAAAUUGGAACGGUAUGGAGAAGAUUAGCAUGGCCUCUGUGCAAGGAAGACAUGCAAAUCUGUGAAGCAUUCAUUAUUAAA
rnacentral:snRNA from 1 species